CAGUCGCCACGGUAAUACAGAGGGUGCGAGCGUUAAUCGGAUUUACUGGGCGUAAAGCGUGCGUAGGCGGCUUUUUAAGUCGGAUGUGAAAUCCCUGGGCUUAACUUAGGAAUUGCAUUCGAUACUGGGAAGCUAGAGUAUGGGAGAGGAUGGUAGAAUUCCAGGUGUAGCGGUGAAAUGCGUAGAGAUCUGGAGGAAUACCGAUGGCGAAGGCAGCCAUCUGGCCUAAUACUGACGCUGAGGUACGAAAGCAUGGGGAGCAAACAGGAUUAGAUACCCGCGUAGUCCCUGUCUCUUAUAC
rnacentral:rRNA from 1 species